GACGUAGGGGGCAAGCGUUGUCCGGAAUCAUUGGGCGUAAAGCGCUCGUAGGUGGAUCGGUAAGUCUGCAAAGAAAGACCCGGGCUCAACUCGGGGAACGGUGUGGAUACUACCGAUCUUGAGGCAAUCAGAGGAUGAUGGAAUUCCACGUGUAGCAGUGAAAUGCGUAGAGAUGUGGAGGAACACCGAUGGCGAAGGCAGCCCCCUGGGCUGAGAUUGACGCUCAGGCACGAAAGCGUGGGGAGCAAACAGG
rnacentral:rRNA from 1 species